rnacentral:rRNA from 1 species
UACGGAGGGAGCUAGCGUUGUUCGGAAUUACUGGGCGUAAAGCGCGCGUAGGCGGCUUUGUAAGUCAGAGGUGAAAUCCCGGGGCUCAACUCCGGAACUGCCUUUGAAACUGCAUCGCUUGAAUCCGGGAGAGGUGAGUGGAAUUCCGAGUGUAGAGGUGAAAUUCGUAGAUAUUCGGAAGAACACCAGUGGCGAAGGCGGCUCACUGGACCGGCAUUGACGCUGAGGUGCGAAAGCGUGGGGAGCAAAACAGG